CAAUCAGAUAAAAAAUAAGGACUUUUGUUUCUCCUUCAACAAACCUCUGCCUCUUAAAAAAUGUGAAAAAACUGUGUGGAUGAAUGGCUAUCAUGCCUCACAAAGCAUGUGCAGUUCCAUGCCUAUGUCCAGUAUAAAAAAAAGCAAAGCUGAGUAAACCACAGCCUGGAGGGCAAAGCAAGGCCAACAUCACCGAGAUGGGGGCAAACUUGGGGUUGCCAAGCCAUUGCAGCAGCUUAUAGAAACAAAUGAAGGAAGCUCUGAUUUUUUUCCACAACAUAUCAUGGGAAAAUCUGCUGGGGAUGCUCUUCGCAUUACAGCAACAAUAGAAGACAAAAGUCUCAGGGCUUUACUAUUGCUGGAUAGAAACCAAAGCUAACUUUUAAAAUAGUUUAGCAUAAAUCCUGAGGCACUGGAAGAGUAAAGACAGUCAGAAUUCCCAGGCUAAGAUUUACCUCUGAAAUGCAGGAUUAUCCUUUAAAGGUAUUGGAUUUUUCACUGAAGAGUUUUAGAGCUUGGAUAUUAUAAGCUUGUAGCUAGCUGAAGCAAAUCCUCUAGGAACAAGACUGUAAAAUGUUAGAGAUGAGCUGCUAUUCAAAAUUGAAUGCAACAACCAGACCUUAUUAGAGAUGGUUUCCUUUAUUUGGCCUGACAAGAUGUGUGGGAAGGAAUUUUAUUUUUGGAUAUACAUGAUGCUUGAAUUGUUCCUGGCAUCUCAAGAAUUUUUUUUUU